rnacentral:lncRNA from 1 species
CAAAGUUGAUUGGACCUAGGGUAUAAUAGUUGCAAACUCUCACUUGCACUAGAUCCAAUCACUUAGGUAUCCAAUAUCAUAAGUCUACAUGACGAUCAUGUUUAUGCUACGACAACUCUGUCGGUAGAUUUGCAAUAUUGUUAAAUGUGGGAAUUUGUUCUUCUCUUUACGUCAUUUCUAUAUAUUAUCUCUCUGAUGAGAUUAUAUCGCCUUAAUACAUGUUUGGAUCAUUGAUGAGACCUUAGUUCCUUCGCUUUCGCAAUGGCUCUAUUGUUAUCACAAUACAAUGGCAUGUGAUCAACAAUAUCAGGAACCACUCCAAGUUCAUUUAUGAACAUCAUGAUUUAGAUUGCAAUUCUUUGCUACUUCUGAAGUAAUCAUGUAUUAGGUUUCUACUAUUGAAUCAACAGUUGCUUUACGUUUGAAACAUUUUCAACAUACCGCUUAAGAGUAAACCAGUUUUUCCAUAUGAAAUCUUCUCAAGGUUUCAUCUAUGUAAAUUGGGAAGAGUUAAGCAAUCUUCUAGAUCUACGUCUAUAGAUCAAGUUGCUUCUCCCAUAUCGUUCAUGAAUAAAUCCUUUAACAAUCAUUAUUUCAACAAUUGAAACAUAGGGAUGUUGUUUUCUAUAAUAUUAGGAAUACGACAAUGCUCUCACUAUCUUCUUGUAAACACACAAUUUGUCUUCAAAUUUGAAAAAAUCAAACACUUUGAUUUUUUCAUCAAACCUAAGAUUUCAACUCCAAGAGACUUCUCUUAACCUAUAGUCACGGUAUGCAACUGUUGCAAGCAAAACCCGAAUGGAUUUCAGCAAGGCUACAGGAGAAAAGUUUCACCAAGGUCAACACUUAACCUUUGCUUCUAGCCUUGCUUUGUAUAUAUGAAUAUUUCCAUCCAUAUCGAUCUUUUCCUUGUAAACUAUUUACAAAAAUUUAUGGGUUUUAUUCCAUCAGGAGGUUUGACAAAGGUCCAAACUUUAUUCACAUACGUCGAGUUCAUCUCGAGUUUUAUAGUCUCUUGCUGUCUCUUUUAAGUCAACACUUGACUUUAUUUUGUUGCAACUAACAUGUUCAUUAUCCUGGAUCAGUAAUACCUGAUUAGUAAUCAUGGAUUCGCACCUUCUUGAAGCUCGAAUGAUCCUACUAGAUUCACAUAGAGCUGAUAUGUCCUCAAGAGUCUUUACUUCCUGAUCAAGAGCGUGUCUCGUCUCAGAUAUGAGAUCAAACUCGGAUUUAUCUACUUGGUUAACUAUAUUUGUGGACUCUUAAACUCUUUCAAGUUCUAUUUUGCUCUCACUAUCCUCCUUAGAGUAAACGUUUUCUCUAAAAAGACAAUAUGUCGUGAGACGAAGACUUUUUUCAUGAUAAUAGAAUUAUAUUUAAAUGUCUAUUUUGAAUAUCCCCACAAAUACGUAUUUAUCGGAUUUAAUAUCAAACUUAUCUGAUUCAAGGUGCUUCAAAUAAGCGUCAUGGCCCCCAAACUUUCAUAUGAGAUAAAUUGGGACUACCGCCUUUCCAUAACUCGUAUGGAUUUCUGUUAACCAACUUAAAUGUGACAUGAUUUAGUGUGUUACACACUGCAAUCAAUGCAUGACCCCAAAACAAUUCUGGGAGAUUUGCAUGGCUUGUUAUUAAUCACAUUAUAUCUAAUAAUUAACGAUUCAUCCUUUUAGAUACACACUAUGCUGUAGUGUAUGUGAAGGAGUCCACUGCAAGAGAAUCUCAUUCUCUCUAAGAUAAUCUAGAUUUUAUCUUUAAGAUACUCUCACUUGAUCGAAUCUUAAUGUGAGUGUAUCUUUACCUAUUUAUUUCUCUACUUCUAGAUUGAAUCCUUUGAACUUUUCAAGAGUUUCAUGUUUGAGUUUCAUCAAGUAUACAUGAUCAUUGAUGAAAUAAGAGAAACAUUACCUGACAUCAAUUGACAUGAAUCCAUAUGCAUCACUAUACAUUAGACCAAUAAUUAUGCUCACCUUUCUUCUUUUCAAGUAAAAGAAUAUUUGGUUAUUGCGUCAGACAUGCAUAAUUUGUACUUGUCAAAAUCAACUAAUCCCGAGUAUACAUUUUUAUGUAACUUUGAAAUUACAUUUCAUCUAUAUGACAAAGUUUGUCAUGCCAGAUUUCGGUAAUAAUUAGACUAUCGCAUUUAUACCUUAUAAUUUCUAUACUCAUUAUAGAAUCAUUAGUAUUAAAGAAUAUAAACGUCAUUUUGUAAUUUACCAUAGUCAUUAUAUUUUUAUCAAGAUAAACAAGAACAACAAUUGUCCUUAACAAUAAAAUAGUUCAUGUCCGAAUAUGAAAUUCUUUUUAAUGUUCCAGCUAUGGUGGGUAUAAAGCGACAUUUCUCUAAUUUCAAUACUAAACCAAAAGGCAACGACAAGAAGUAUAUUCCUACAGGCAAUGCAGCAACCUUUGCUCAUAUCCAACGUGUAGGUCAACUUCUCCCUUUCGCAGUGGUCUACUUGUAUUUAGUUUCUCCAUAUUUGUAUAAAUAUGAGAUUUACAUCUGGUAUCAAAUACCUAAGAAACUCGUGAAGUAAACAUAAGCCACACAAUAUUCCUUUCAAUGACUUAUCAUUCUAUAAUGAAACCAAUGGUCAUUAGAUUUGGUAUUGUUCUUCGCUUAGACUGUCUUAACCAUAUUAGGUGCUUUCCCAAAACUCCUUUAGACUUCCUCUUAAUACCCUUAGAGGAAUCAAUGGCUUGCCCCACUUCUAACUUUGUUAUUGAGUAUAACAGUCCUAAGCAUGUUAAACAACUUAAUAAGUAUGCAUUCGAGCUUAUUCAUAUCAUAAUUCAUAAUUAGAAUGAAUAACUCUAUGAUAGAGAUUGCAGAGUUAAGUCAAUACUUAAUUCAUAGUUAAUGAUUGAACUCAAUUGAGACACUUCUCAUGUCAAUCAUCUUCAGUACAUGACAUUGACUGAAGAUUCUAUUGUCACUUUGCAUCGGUAUAGUUGUUUGGAAGUCUCAUAUCCUUCUACACAUGAUUAUUAUCAUACAAUUCUUUGAAAUGAAAAAUCAUGUGUUAUCAUGUUAGCAUAUAUACUUUCAUGUUGCUUCUGUAACUCAGGUGACAUAGUUGCAAGUAUCACAUACGUUGCAGUACUAUCGUCAUCACUGCGUUUAUUACAGUAGACAUCUCUUCUUUAAUCGAGUCAUCAGCAGUUGUCUCUGGAAAGGGUUACUCAAGGACGUGACCAAUUUUCUCAUGCAUGAGAACAAUUCUCAAAUUGCAGUGUCAAUUAAGAAAAUCUAGUUUGGUUGUUGACAUCUAGUAUGCCGUUCAAAACAUAUGGUUACUUAAGGUUCAAUGUAAAUGAUGAAAAGAAAAUAAAUAAUAUAUAAAAUACAUCAAUUAAUUUAACAUGGACUUUUAUUAAAUUAAUUAUGCUCCCACUGUUUAACUAAAAUUUGUGACCCUCUUACAUAAAUUUAUGGAGUCCAUACUUGAUUCUCAGUGGGCUGGAAUCCCAUCUAUUAUAUUAAGAUCUUGAGUGUACUCAACAAGCCUUAAUAUAACAUUUGCAUAGAUAGUAUUAUCAAUUGUAUCUCCAUAUAAUUUCUAGAUCAUUAAGCUGACAACUCUUUAUCUUCACACAUCUUAUGUAUUAGUUUAACAUGCCUCUAAAAUUUAUCUCUUUGUUUAAAAUUUAUCUCUUUGAGUGUACUCACAAAAGAUAGAUUUUAGUUAAGUCAAACCCAUCAUUUAGAAAUAUCAAAUAUUUCAUAGUGUUAAACAUAUCCCUAAUAGACCAUCUAUGAGUGUACUCAACAAGUUGAGAUCAUUUGGGACUCUGAUUUUUCACUAUAAUGAUGAAAGGCGAUUAUAAAUGUGACUUAAUAUUUUACGAAGGAAUUUUGCAUUCAAGGGUCUCAUUGUAACAAUCAUAUAUAUUUUAUUAUACAUCUACCAUGCAAAUAAAUAUAUAUAUAACAUAAUAUAAUAGUGUGGACGAUUAUGGACUUUACAAUCUACUCUUCCCGAGCCAUAAGGAAGACUAGUUGGUCAAUUUUUAGGGGAUAUUACAUUGAUCAGUAUCAAUGCACCAUCUCCAUGGUCUCCUCCUCUUCUUUUUUCUUUAAUUAGUCCAAUUGCAACAUGUAUCCUAUAUUAGAUGGCACGCAGGCCUAAACGAAAUUAGACUCGCAGGCCCAUAAUAAUAACAAUAAUAACGGGCUCGCAGGCCCAAAACAAUUAAGAGUUCGCAGGCUCACAAAAUGACAAGAAUAAAAAUUAACCAUUCAACACAUCCAUAUGGUCGAGUUCAUAAUCGUCCACUAAUAAUACAUUCAUUACAUAAAUGUAUGUAUAUAUAAUAUCUAAUAUUACAUGAAAACAUGUUUCAAGUUUCUAGCAAUUAAGAUCAUCUAAACUCUUUUAGAAAAAUGAAUCGAAACAAUUAAAUAAUUAAUUAACCAUAUUAAUCAAUUAUUUAAUUAGCGGGCAUAUUUAAUUAAAAUCAAAUUUUAAUUAAAUAACGAAUUAGAGUCCAACUCUAACUCAACAAUUAUAGGGCGGGAUAAAUAUCAAAUUAGUGUCAAACUCUAAUUUCAAAAUUUAAGGCAGUUGAAUUUAAUUAAAAUCAAAUGUUAAUUAAAUAACAAAAUUAGAGUCCAACUCUAAUUCCAAAAUUUUAGGGCGAAUUUAUUUAAUCAAAAUCAUAUUUCAAUUAAAUAUCAAAUUAGAGUCCAACUCUAAUUCCGAGAAGAAAUUCAGGGCGAGACAAUUUAAUUAAAUGUCAAAUUAGAAUCCAAUUCUAAAUUCAAGAAAUGCUAGGGUAAAUUAUUUAAUUAAAAUCAAAUUUUAAUUAAAUAUUAAAUCAGAGUCCAACUCUAAUCCCAAGGAAAAUUUUAGGGUAAGACAAUUUAAUUAAAAUCAAAUUUCAAUUAAACGUCAGAUUAGAAUCCGAUUCUAACUUCUAGAAUAUAUUCGAGGUGAAUAAUUAAUUAAAAUCAAAUUUUAAUUAAGUAUUAAAUUAGAGUCAAACUCUAAUUUAAAUUGAAUUAAUAUUUUAAUUUAUGAUAACGCCCCUAAAUAAAAUAAAAUUCAAUUAGGAUCAAAGUUUAAUAUUUAAGUUAAAAUUCAAUUUUAACAAAAAAUAUAAAGUGUCGUCAAAUUUAAAUAAAAUUUUAAACCUGGAUCAAAAUUAAAAUUAUUGGUCAAACAUAAUUAAAAACCUAACUUUUAAAACCAUUUUAAUAUUUAAAUUCAAAACCCUUUUGAAAAUUGCAAGUUGACCCAAGAAUGAAAUUAAAAGCAAGUCCCUCAAUUUCGAAAAUUGCAUGACAAGCCAUCCAUUUAAAAAUUGCAAUUUUGACCCCAUUCUUAUAAUUGCAGACAGGGACCCAUAAUUACUAUAAUUGCAGAGGAAGCCCCCGCCUCCAAAUCACCUAACCCGAAUCUGAAAACCUAGGAAAUUCACCAAUUUCUUUAUUCUUCAAAUUUCUGAGGCGUCGCUGGCCCUUUUCCGGCUUGAAGGCGCUGCUAUGAUGAACAACAACAGCGUCGCGCGCUGCUGUGUUCGGCUAUUGCUGCUGUCAUACUAAGUCGUCAGGCAGCACUAGGCAGCUCCGGUUGCUGCCCGAUUUUCAGAUCCAUUACCAUAUUUUAUUAUUAUUUUUUAUCUUGUUUUCAAAACUAGAUUUCAAAAAAAAAUGAAAAUCAAAUUUUCAUUAAUUGCUAGAAACUAGUAAAUGUAUAAUAACCAACUUUUGAUUGUACAAAAUGUUAAACAAUUUCUAACAAACACAAAGUAGGCUUUGAUAUCACUGUUAAGAAUCUACUUAACAUGCGCAGCGAAAAUUAAAACAAUUUUCGAUUCCCACUAAGAAUCGCCUUUGUGUUUAGAUAAAAAUUGUGAUAAGAUUGUACUUUUUCCAGAUCUGCAAACUUCUUUGUUAUUCUUUUCGUUCCAACAAUCUUGAUUCGCCACCCAUAGCUGUCCAAUUGUCCAGCCUCCAACAGUGAUCCACACAGAGAACAAGAUUGUAGCUAUCAUGAUUUUCUCCUCUUGUACUAGCAAGAAUAAUUAUGAGAAAAAACACAUAUGAAUUGAAAACUCUAGCCAUGUAUUUAUAUAAGCUCAAAUGGGCCUAACCUGAUCCGGUCCAAUAUUUAAUUAAUCCAUUUAAUUAAUCCAGUCCGUGAAUUAAUUAAUCCAAUUAACUAACUCGGACCUAUAAAUAACCAAACCAAUUAAUUAAUUUAUUCAACGAUUGUUAAAUUAAUUAAUUGACAAAUUACAAUCUUCCAAUUCUCUUUUGUGUGCGACCCAUCAGGUUCCUAGUCACGAUAUCUAACGAUGUGAAAUAUUAUUUUGAUCUAAUCAAAAUUGAUAAAUUAAAACACCUUUUUAAUUUAUCAUCAAUUCACACUCGCCGUCCCAAAUUGACAUCUAUCAAUGUGUCGUGACAAUACAUGUGACAGGAAAUGUCAUGUGGUAUGACAAAACCAAACUCGUUCAUUUACCGUGAAACUAUAAUCCCUUCGUCAAUAUGAUCCGAUCAAUUACGAGAUAUGAAAGUAUGUCAAUCUCGAUUAUCGAUCAUAUCUUUCACUCCACUAUUCAGUCAAUAUAAGUCGAAAACUUCUUUUCGACUUACGAGUACACAUUGGCCAAGGAUUUCGAUAUCGACUUAAUUGAAUGAAACGCAGAUCAUAAUCUCUUACUAUCUAAGAGUGACGAAUCCUCUAUUGAUCAUUCACAACCUUCAUAUGAUUAUUGACAUACCCGAACGAUGCCGUAUUAGCAGCCAUUGAGAGAGCAACAUCCAAUACCGUCAAAGCAUGACCGUCCUCAUAUAAAGUAUUAUAACGACCUCAAGUCAAAAGGACCAAUUCCACUAUCGAACGUUAGAGAUUAACCACUGACACUCAAAUAGUCAUCCAUGUGGAAUCUCUCGACCGGUCUCCAAUAUUUUGUUUUAUAACAAAACAUCUACGUAUUCAUUUAAGUGUCAUCACACUUUAACUUGUGAGAUUAGCUACUUACUUCAUAAGUAAGAAAUGCCACACAUGAUGAUCUAUUCUUAAUAACGAUAUUCGUAUCUCAUUAUUACUUAUAACCACGGACAAUUUAAGAUUCAAUCAAAUGUAACUUGUAUCUCACAAUCAAAACUCCUUGUGAUUAACAAAUUACGAAGAUUUGAAUCGACGGACUCUAUUAUUUAUUUAAUUGUCUACUAAUUAAAUAAUAGAUCUGCCAUUAAAUUGCAUUAAUUAUAUAUCAAAAAUAUUUAUGUCCAAAAUUGAUUGGACUUAGGGUAUAAUACUUACAAUCAACAUAUCUGUGGAAGCAUUUAGCAGUCCUUAUGCAGCAAAUAUUUCUCCAAAACUUGCAUGCAUAGUUUACAAAAUUAGUCUGCUAACACAAUCUCCUUGCUGCAAGUCCAUGAAAUCAUGGUUUUCAAUGCUGAAGAAUCCAUAAAUGUUGAUUUUAAGGAAAAGGGAAGAGCAAAGGCUACAGAUAUGCCACUCACUCUCAGAUUCUCCAUUUUCCCUCAUCGCGAAUUUGAGACGCUGUUCCAGACAGAAAAAUUGGUAACUUUGAUAUAUUCGUCUGUAAAUUCCAUAACUUGAAACCUCAAACUUUUCUUUUGUUCUGCUCUAGUGUAGUAUGUCCCAUACAAGCAACAAAAGGUUACAUUUCCAUCA